UUCCGGUUGAUCCCGCCGGACCCGACUGCUAUUUGGGUGAGGAUAAGCCAUGCGAGUUGAAUGGGAUACCUAAAUUUCCCAUGGCAAACUGCUCAGUAACACAUGAUCAACUUACCCUAUAGAGAAAAAUAACCUCGGGAAACUGAGGAUAAUAUUUCAUAGUUGAAUAGGCUUGGAAAAGUUUUUCAAUUAAAGGGAUAAAAAAAAUGGUUUUUAUCUGCUAUAGGAUAGGAUCGUGGACGAUUAUGGUUGUUGGUGAGGUAACGGCUCACCAAGCCGAUAAUCGAUAGGGGCCGUGAGAGCGGGAGCCCCGAGAUGGGUACUGAGACAACGACCCAGGCCUUACGAGGCGCAGCAGGCGCGGAACCUCCGCAAUACACGAAAGUGUGACGGGGUUACCCAAAGUGUUCAAUUCUGAACUGUGGUAGGUGAGUAAUGUUCCCUACUAGAAAGGAGAGGGCAAGGCUGGUGCCAGCCGCCGCGGUAAAACCAGCUCUUCAAGUGGUCGGGAUAAUUAUUGGGCUUAAAGUGUCCGUAGCCGGUUUAGUAAGUUCCUGGUAAAAUCGGGUAGCUUAACUAUCUGUAUGCUAGGAAUACUGCUAUACUAGAGGACGGGAGAGGUCUGAGGUACUACAGGGGUAGGGGUGAAAUCUUAUAAUCCUUGUAGGACCACCAGUGGCGAAGGCGUCAGACUGGAACGUGCCUGACGGUGAGGGACGAAAGCCAGGGGAGCGAACCGGAUUAGAUACCCGGGUAGUCCUGGCCGUAAACGAUGCAUACUAUGUGAUGGCCCGGCCAUGAGCCGUGUCAAUGCCGUAUGGAAACCGUUAAGUGUGCCGCCUGGGAAGUACGGUCGCAAGGCUAGAACUUACAGGAAUCGGCGGGGGGAGCAGCACAGGGGUGAAGCCUGCGGUUCAGUUGAGUCACGCGGG
rnacentral:rRNA from 1 species